AGUGAACGCUGGCGGUAGGCCUAAUACAUGCAAGUCGAACGACAGGACAGUAAGAGUGUGCCCUUACGGGUGGCGAGGGGCGGGCGGGUGAGGAGUACAUAGCAAUCUUAUAUUACGGGGGGGACAACGUAAGGAAAGAGAUGAUAAUACAGCAUACGACCUACGGGUGGGAGCAGUGGAGAUUGGGGCCUUGGGCGACUGAAUGAGACGAUGCCGGAUUAGCUAGUUGGCGGGGUAAGGGCCCACCAAGGCGACGAUCCGUAGCGGGUCUGAGAGGAUGAUCAGCCACACUGGAACUGAGACACGGUCCAGACUCCUACGGGAGGCAGCAGUAGGGAAUCUUCGGCAAUGGGCGAAAGCUUGACCCAGCAAUACCGCGUGAGUGAUGAAGGUCUUCGGGUUGUAAAGCCCUUUUAUUAGGGAAGAACAACUGCGGGAGUAUACCCCCCCGUCCUGACGGUACCUAAACAGUAAGCAACGGCUAACUUCGUG
rnacentral:rRNA from 1 species